AUGAAAUAGUUUCCCAGUUCAGAAAUUCAGUUUCGUCUUCGCCACUCCCAAGCUUCGUCUUCUCCCAGGCUUUGUCUUUCUAGUCUGUGGCUUCUGUGUUCGUGCGAGAGCGAAACCGAUUGUUGCAGUCGCCGUCGUGGGACAGUCCAGAUCUCUAAGUCGCGGUCGUCGUCGUGGGUGAGAGAGCAACUGGUCUACAUCUGCUAUUAAGAUGCAUGUUGGGGCGAUGGAUGGAAGACAGCCGGAUAAUGAGAAUAGAGCACAUAAGAUUUUUAGGAUUUUGGUUUAUGAUUUCGAGAUCUAUUGAGUGUAUUUUCUUUUCUGGUAUUGUGAUUGUAAACGAUAUGUAAGCAAGUGAUUGCAAUAUGUGAGUUGAGUAAGUGAUUGUAAAAAAGAUGCUGAAUAUUUUGUUAUAUAAGAUUUAUCAGUUUCUACAAAUGAAAGAAGCUUUUUUGUGGUUCUAUAAA